UACGGGGGGGGCAAGCGUUGUUCGGAAUUACUGGGCGUAAAGGGCCAGUAGGCGGCCAACUAAGUCGGAUGUGAAAUCCCCAGGCUUAACUGGUGAACUGCAUCCGAUACUGGAUGGCUUGAAUUCGGGAGAGGGAUGCAGAAUUCCAGGUGUAGCGGUGAAAUGCGUAGAUAUCUGGAGGAAUACCGGUGGCGAAGGCGGCGCUCUGGAACAUUUCUGACGCUGAGGCUCGAAAGCGUGGGGAGCAAACAGG
rnacentral:rRNA from 1 species